CGAGCCGUUCCUGGACGGCCUGCCGUCCGCGUUGCGGAUGCCCGAGGGAUCUGGGAAGGAGGGAGCGGGAGUUCCCGGGGCCAGCAGCCAGGUUUCGGCGGCGUCUGGCGCAGGGAGGCGCUGGAGACGCUCGGAAGCGUUCGCAAGGAUCAGGGAUGCGUUCGCAAGGCGUUCGGGGGCGCCGAAGCCUUAGCCACGCCUCCCACUCCGUCUCCACUCCCCCAGAGGCGAGCCGAGGGGUCUCCUGGGAGGUGUAGUUCUCACCCUUCGACUUCCCUUUCCCCGAGGCCGCUGCAGGCCAAGCCGGGACUGCGACUCCCAGAGGUCUCCUUGGCCCGGAGGUCACUCCCUCGGCCGCCUGGCGCUCAGAACCUCGUGUCCAACGGUGCCCAACGGAGUCUAACGGCGCGCGGUCGGUUCCGGGGCUCUGCGGCCGGCCGAGGCUGGGCUGCGGUCUCGCCAGCACCCCUGGGACCGGGAGACUGAGCGAUGGAGGCGACGGCGAGCGGGCGCCCGGCCGGCGGGGCAGUCGUGUGCGCUGGCUCCAGCCCGGGGCCGCUGACCCCCUCGGGUCACAGGCGGCCUGGACGUGCAGCCAGAGCCAACAGCGACUGGUGUUGAGGAAGGAGGCAGUGAUUCAGGCCGAGAGCGAAGGCGGGUUUCUCCAGGAGGGCGCACGAGCCGGGUUGACCGCGGGAGACCACGCCUCGGCUCUGGUUGGCUCAGAUACCACCCGUGGGAAGACUUUCCUGGUCCCUCCUGGUUUUAUGCCGUUUCCAGGGUUUCUCCUUCCUUCCCUGAUGGUAUAUUUCAGACAAAGUUGAUUCAUUCAUUCUACAAUAUUUAUUGGAUGCCUACUCUUUGUCAAGCGUGGUUCUACUUGCUGUUGAUAAAGGUUUCUUCUCAAGCUUACACUGCAAUGAGGGAAACAGAAAAUAAAUAUAUGAUGUGGCAGAUGGUGUUUACAGGCCAAGAAGAAAAGCAAGUCAGGUCUAGGGGACAGAGCGACGUUGUGGAAGCAGGCUGUAGGUUUAGGCUCUGGGCUCCUCAUUUACUCGAGCAGUAUGGUGGCUGCCAUAUUCGCCACUCUGAAAGAGACCUGCAGUGGCACCAAGGAAGCGUGCCUGGCGUUUGCCACGGGUCUGAUGAGAGCUCCUCAUAAACCCUGAGACUCUCAAAGGUGCCUGCUGCCAGCUGAUUUCUCAUCCAGAAGCCCCUGCAAGUCCUUCGGCCCCUGAGCCCUUGGCUUUUUGUCCUCAGGCUUUGCCUUUAGAGCCAGUCUGUACCCAGGCCCUGCAUCCCUGGCCUUCUGCAGAGGCUUGACUGUCCCUCUGUGCUCUAGCCCGCACUCAUGCUGGCAUCGCACCUGCAUCGGAUGCUUGCUCUUCCGCAGCGUCCUGGGGAGCAGCUUCCUGGCAGUCAGAGCUGGAAGGAUUCUGAGCCUCCGUGCAGUCCGGCCAUGUUCCUGGCCCUCCCUGAGCUCUGGGGGCAGAGCCAGACGGGGAGGGCUAGUCCCGGCAUCCCCCACAAGGCUGUGCAGAGCCGGGACUAGCAGGAGCGGAUCACUCCAGACUCUGUGCCCUGUAGAAGAAAAGUCACAAAAGUAGAUAACGAGAAAGUUAUCUGUUGCUGUGUAACAAAUUAUCCCACAACGUAGCAGCUUAAAACAAGUAUUUAUUGUCUCACAGUUUCUGUGGGUCCGGAAUCCGGGCACGGCUUAGCUGGUAGCACCUGCCUCAAGGUGUCUUAGAAGGCUGCAGGCAGGGCGUCAGCUGCGACUAUGGCCUCGGCUGGAGGCUCCCCCGAGGAGAGGUCCAUGUGCAAGCUCGCUCGCGUCGUUGUUGGCAGGAUUCAGUUCCUCAUGGGCUAUUAGACUGAAAGCCUUGUUCUUUUUUGCAUUUUGGCUGAAAGCCUUACUCAGUUGUUUGCCACACGGGCCUCCCCUCAGCCACUCACAACAUGGCAGGUGCCUUCCAUCUGAUGGAGCAAGCAAGACAGGACAGACAAGAUUGAAGGCAGUCUUUGGGACCUCGUUUCAGAAGUGGCGUCUUUUCACUUUUUGCUGUAUUCUGUUCUUUGGGUUCAGCCCACACUCCAGGGGAAGGGAUUCCAGAGGGAGUAUAUAUCAGGAGAAAGGGGAUCAUUGAGGGCCGUGUACAGGCUGCCUGCCACGACACCCUAGCCACCACUCUGUCUGUGCUCUUCCUGCUGUCCCUCCCCCAGCCCUCCUCCUCCUCCUCACCAGAGAUGGUAGUACUGUGUUCAUUGUAUUGUUAUUCUAGUCUUUGACUGUUAUUUUUUAAACUGUAACCUGAAUUGUGAGGUUGUGGGAUGUACCUGAGAAUGAAAUGCAAUGACAGAGGUGCGCUCAUUAGGAAGCGUUCUGUCUACAUCCUUCCCAACAUCUGAUUACUUUUAAUUCCCAUUUCCUGAGUGACAUAGAGCAUCUUUUCUUAACCUUACAAGUUAUUUAUCUUUACCUCGGAGCCAGGUUCGCCCCCCAAUCUAUUGAUACUUCCAGAGGUCCCUGAGGGUGCAGUCUUGGGAGUGGAGGAACAUUAAGGAAAGUCCCAGAAGGAAGUGUAGGCUCAGCUCUGCCCUAGUGCCCUUGCACGUACCCAUGGAAGCCACACGGACAAGGCUUGGACCACAGCUGACUCUAAGCCUUAAUCCUGAGUCAAAGUGUCGUGGUCCCCUGGAACACGAGAGCUGGGGAGAAGCUGCUUCACCAGCACGUCCCACUGGCCUGCCCGUCUCUCCCGGAGGCCGGACUGACAGGGUUGCGCGUGGCCUCCAGGUUCUGACCAGGAUGAGGCUGUAGGAGAGCUGAACUCCAGCCGGGCAGCGGCUCCUCAGAACGAGGCGCCUGUCAUUCCUGUUGCAGUUACCUGGUCACUUCCGGUGUCACCCUGCACAAGGGCCAUGGGGAGCUGGCGUCUUUGGCUACUUUUCCUUUUGUAGUCUGUGGAAGUAAUAAACUGAAUCUGAAAA